UACGUAGGUGGCAAGCGUUGUCCGGAUUUACUGGGCGUAAAGGGCGUGCAGGCGGUUUGUUAAGUGCAGGGUGAAAGCUCCCGGCUCAACUGGGAGAGGUCCUUGCAUACUGGCAAACUCGAGGGAGGCAGAGGAAAGUGGAAUUCCCGGUGUAGUGGUGAUAUGCGUAGAUAUCGGGAGGAACACCUGUGGCGAAGGGCGGCUUUCUGGGCCUUACCUGACGCUGAGA
rnacentral:rRNA from 1 species